UUCUUUUGAGUUCAAGCCAUGUUUUAAUUAUGCUUUUAUGUGUUAAAUUAAUGAAGUUAAGGUUUAUAAUUUUGAACAUUUCUUUCCUCAAGUUUAUGGCCUAAGUAAGCCACUAAGAGUUUUAAAUCUAAACUAGUAAGCUUACUCAGGAAUUUUAAGUUGCCAAGAGUUGUAUCUCUUUAUUUGUGCUGUGUUUUUAGAAAGUAUAUGAGGCUUUUCUUAAGUUUCCGACUACUCUUGUAUUAUUUAAUUGUAUGGUUGAGUUUUGGUUAAGUGAGAGAUGUUUAAGACCAUGAAUGUACUAAGACUUGCUAGCUGUCUAUGUACUACAGAAAUUCUGAAAAUGUUCUGUUUUGAAGCCUAAAUUAGCCCAUUUCAUCCCUUGCUCAACUACACCCCUUUUUGUUUAAUCAAAGAUAAACUUUAGUAUGAAAAACCCUUGAAGAACAAGUGACAAAAACCAACCUCUUGUAAGCAUUGUCUUUUGUUAGAGUUACUUCCCACAUGAUGUUACAAAACUGUCAAAAUGCCCUUUUUAUAAAGAUUUCAGAUUUGGUAGUACCUCCUUGUUCCCUACCAUACUUACAUAAAUCCCUACCAUCUUAUACAUUUGAACUUUUGAUUUCCUACAUAUCCCUUGUGUAGGAAAUAUUAGCCUUUAAAAAGGGACAGCAAGCAAGUUACAUGCUUUCAUGGGUUUCUUUAAAUAUCGGAAUGAGUAUACCAAUGGUUGAUUUAGUGUCAUGUAUGUAGCUAAAUGGGUUAAGGAAGACGCUUUAAUUCCAACUUGGAAAUUAAGUGAGCGCGUAUGGGUGUCGAAUAGUAAAGCCUUAAGUGAAAUGAAUUUUUAAUAUGUUUAUCCCAUUUCAUUGAAUAGGAGUUUAUUUUCAAGAUUCAAGGAACCUACUUGUAAAGCAACGAGGUAUGGAUGAAGAGGCUGUGGAGCUAGGCACUACUGAGGAGGGAAGGGCCAAUGCUUAGAGUUUUCUUGAUGGUUCGACUUUGAUGAUGAUGGUUUAUGUUUUUAUGUUUUUAUGAUGGGUCCCGUGUUGAGACGUUUUGUUGGCUUGACUUUAAAAUAGUAUGCCUUCAAGCAUGAUGUAAAUACUAUGAUGGGGUGAUGGUAAUGGCGUAACUUCUAUGGUGGGGUGAUGGUUACCCCACAUAAGAUGGUAUGGUUUUGUAGU